UACGGGGGGGCAAGCGUUGUUCGGAAUUACUGGGCGUAAAGGGCGUUGUAGGUGGCCAACUAAGUCAGACGUGAAAUCCCACGGCUUAACCGAGGAACUGCGUCUGAUACUGGAUGGCUUGAGUGUGGGAGAGGGAGUGCGGAAUUCCAGGUGUAGCGGUGAAAUGCGUAGAUAUCUGGAAGGAACACCGGUGGCGAAGGCGGCAUCCUGGACCACGACUGACGCUGAGUGAGCGAAAGCCAGGGGAGGCAAACGGG
rnacentral:rRNA from 1 species